AAGCGCUUGCAGCCAGACUUGCUCGUAGUUGCUCAUCCGAGCUUUUGCUCGGUGCACUCUUCUGCGAGCAGGCCAGCAUCAGUCCGGGCGGUUGGAUAAAGGCUCUGGGAAUGUAGCUCUCUUCGGGGAGUGUUAUAGCCCAGGGUGUCAUGCAACCAGUCUGGACUGAGGUCCGCGCAUCUGCUAGGAUGCUGGCGUAAUGGCUGUAAGC
rnacentral:rRNA from 1 species